CAUUUGAGAAACCAAAACAGUUAACUUUAUCAGCAACCUGGGGCAGAUACCUGUUGGGGCAGCUACGCAGAACCAGCUGCAGGUCAGUCAGCAGAUUACAAAUUAGCACUUUUGCUCCCUUGCCCCUCCUUGCCUCAUUAGGGUGCUAAUGGGGUGGGUGGUGGGAGGUGGCUGAGGUUUCUUGUAGCUCUGGAGCCUGAGCCUCUAUCUGGUUAUUCAGGCAUCCAUUGGCAGGCUAGUCCUGCAGUUUGGGAGGUUUUAGCGAAGAACCUGUGCUCUGUAAGAAGUUAGUGCCCAGCUGCCAGCUCUACUGUCCUGAGCACUGAGGCAGCCAGCCCUACACAGGAACCGCUGCGUGUUGCCUGCCGGGCGAUGCAGUCUGCCCUACCGAUGGGUUCUGCUCUCCUUUGUGGUGGAUGUGCUUUCACAGGGCUUUUCAGAGGACUGCAGAUUACUUGCUGAGGAGUUCCUCAAGUCAACACCUCAUACUAUUCUAGCAGGCUGCGUGCCCCAGGAGGUGAGCUGAUGUUGCUUUCAUAAAGGACCUGAACUCAGAGCAAUGAGAGUGGCUGUCACUUCAACAUCUGAAUGUCAGGACAUAGUUCCCUCUGUUUCUGAUAAUGUCACUUGGAGGAAUGGGCUUGGAAACAGAACUUUACAGGGGUGGAACUAUAGGAUCUACUGUUCUGUGGUGUAUCAUCUAUGUCUCACAAUAUCCUGUAGUGUCCCAUGUGUAUGUCCCCCACUUCUCAAUCAAGCAUACCACUGUGCGCCUCAGGAGAAAGGAUGAGCAGGAAGAAACAUUAUAAGCAGAAACGGCAGGAGCGAUGAUCCAGGCGCUGCUUCCAACCAUGUAUUCAACUACAAGAAUUUCAGGCCACGGUUGAUAGCAGCCGGUUUCCAGUUGAAGGAUGUGACUUCCAGGAAGUGCAAAGCAAAAAUUCCCUGCAGGCAUCUCUGAAGUGUCUCAGCAUGGGUCUUG